AACGAACGCUGGCGGCAUGCCUAACACAUGCAAGUCGAACGAGACCUUCGGGUCUAGUGGCGCACGGGUGCGUAACGCGUGGGAACCUGCCCUUAGGUUCGGCAUAACUCCCCGAAAGGGGUGCUAAUACCGGAUAAUGUCUUCGGACCAAAGAUUUAUCGCCUUUGGAUGGGCCCGCGUUGGAUUAGCUAGUUGGUAGGGUAAAAGCCUACCAAGGCGACGAUCCAUAGCUGGUCUGAGAGGAUGAUCAGCCACACUGGGACUGGGACACGGCCCAGACUCCUACGGGAGGCAGCAGUGGGGAAUAUUGGACAAUGGGCGAAAGCCUGAUCCAGCAAUGCCGCGUGAGUGAUGAAGGCCUUAGGGUUGUAAAGCUCUUUUACCCGGGAUGAUAAUGACAGUACCGGGAGAAUAAGCUCCGGCUAACUCCGUG
rnacentral:rRNA from 1 species